CAAUGACUUAUAUACCUAAAAAAAUGCAACACUAUGCGCAUGCAGCCAUGAAUCUGAUCAACAUGGACUCGGAGAACCGGGUGGUGCUCAAUGUGGGUGGCAUUAGACACGAGACCUACAAGGCCACGCUGAAAAAGAUUCCGGCAACGCGAUUGUCGCGAUUGACAGAGGCCCUGGCCAAUUACGAUCCGAUACUGAAUGAGUACUUCUUUGAUCGGCAUCCGGGCGUCUUCGCACAAGUGCUCAACUAUUACAGAACUGGCAAGCUGCAUUAUCCCACGGACGUGUGCGGACCGCUGUUUGAGGAGGAAUUGGAGUUCUGGGGCCUAGACUCGAACCAAGUGGAGCCCUGCUGUUGGAUGACCUACACGCAGCAUCGCGACACCCAGGAAACCCUAGCCGUACUCGAUCGUCUCGAUCUGGAUACGGAAAAACCGUCCGAGGAGGAACUGGCGCGCAAAUUCGGCUUCGAGGAGGACUACUACAAAGGCACCAUAUCCUGGUGGCAGGAAAUGAAGCCGCGCAUUUGGUCCUUGUUCGAUGAGCCCUACAGUUCCAAUGCAGCCAAGACUAUUGGCGUGGUUUCGGUGUUCUUCAUCUGCAUUUCGAUCCUGUCGUUCUGCCUGAAGACCCAUCCCGACAUGCGGGUGCCCAUCGUCCGGAAUAUUACAGUGAAAACUGCGAAUGGAAGUAAUGGCUGGUUCUUGGACAAGACGCAGACCAAUGCGCACAUAGCCUUCUUCUAUAUCGAAUGCGUGUGCAAUGCCUGGUUUACCUUUGAAAUAUUGGUGCGCUUUAUCUCAUCGCCGAACAAGUGGGAGUUCAUCAAGUCAUCUGUUAACAUCAUAGACUACAUAGCGACGCUUAGUUUUUAUAUCGAUCUAGUGCUUCAGCGGUUCGCAUCGCAUCUGGAGAACGCUGACAUCCUCGAGUUCUUCUCGAUCAUCCGCAUCAUGCGUCUGUUCAAGCUGACGCGCCACUCGUCCGGACUGAAGAUCCUGAUCCAGACGUUCCGGGCCUCGGCCAAGGAGCUGACCCUGCUGGUGUUCUUCCUCGUCCUGGGCAUCGUGAUCUUCGCCAGCCUCGUCUACUACGCGGAGCGCAUCCAGCCGAACCCCCACAACGACUUCAAUAGCAUACCCCUGGGCCUGUGGUGGGCCCUGGUCACCAUGACCACCGUCGGCUACGGUGACAUGGCCCCCAAAACCUACAUCGGCAUGUUCGUGGGCGCCCUGUGCGCCCUAGCCGGCGUACUAACCAUCGCACUGCCAGUGCCCGUCAUCGUCAGCAACUUCGCCAUGUACUACUCGCACACGCAGGCCAGGGCCAAACUGCCAAAGAAGCGGAGACGAGUGCUUCCCGUCGAGCAGCCGCGGCAGCCCAGACUGCCAGGUGCACCUGGUGGUGUCAGUGGCUGCGGCACCCCGGGCUCGGGUCCCCACUCCGGUCCCAUGGGAUCCGGCGGAACUGGACCACGUCGCAUGAACAAUAAAACCAAGGACCUGGUCAGCCCCAAGUCAGAUGAAUAUACAACAAUGAUUGGCAAACCGCGCGAUGGCAAAAAGAGCAGGCUGCUCUAAGCCAACAAACACAACAGCACCAACAUGAACCACGAUACGACAACAACCACAACAGAACCAGCUGAAGAACCAAUAUUCCCCCAUACCAUUACUUCCAAGCUAGAACUCGCAAUGAGAGAUGAUGAUGAUACCUUCCUAUAUAAGAAUUUGGCAAACUGAUCUAUGAGUAAGCGAAGGAAAAGUUGAGAGAAACCGAAAACGCAACCCAAGGACUGGAUAAAGAUCAUAUAGCGGAUAUAGACCAAAUCGGAUCGUGGUCCACUGGGCGCAAGUAUUGUGGCCAUGAGUCCCAGGACAAUGCUGGAUCUCAAUCCUGCCCUGGCGAUGGGCAAGCCUUCGUUCCAG
rnacentral:misc_RNA from 1 species